AAUUAAGAAUCGAUAUAAUCAAAUCACUAGCUCCUAUCACUCCAAUAAAGACCCAUUUUGUUUUGUGUCACAAAUUUAAUCGCCCUUUAUCUCCUCUUUUUUGGAAACCACAGUAGAAGCCAUCACCUUUCUCUUCCACUGUAUUUUAAUCAAGCCUUCACAAAUCCAUACAACAACUGCUCCCCAGUAUAUCGCACUCUCUUACAGUUCACGCCUGAAGCAAUUCUCUGAAAACCACCAACUCUCUGAAGCAGUUCAAGCUUGAGAUUGGGUUGUUGUGUGAAGGUGAAGAUGAUGAUGGCCUAAUGUUGAAG
rnacentral:misc_RNA from 1 species